rnacentral:rRNA from 1 species
GGUGGCUGCAUGGCUGUCGUCAGCUCGUGUCGUGAGAUGUUGGGUUAAGUCCCGCAACGAGCGCAACCCUUGCCUUUAGUUGCCAGCAGUUCGGCUGGGCACUCUAAAGGGACUGCCGGUGUUAAACCGGAGGAAGGUGGGGAUGACGUCAAGUCCUCAUGGCCUUUAUGACCAGGGCUACACACGUACUACAAUGGCCGAUACAAAGGGCAGCGACACUGCGAGGUGAAGCCAAUCCCGUAAAAUCGGUCUCAGUCCGGAUUGGAGUCUGCAACUCGACUCCAUGAAGUUGGAAUCGCUAGUAAUCGUGGAUCAGCAUGCCACGGUGAAUACGUUCCCGGGCCUU